UAUAGCAAAUGCAGCAUAUGGCAUUAAUUUUUCACAUGUAAAUAACACUUUUCAGUGGUGCUCACAGCAUGCCGUUCCAUGAGCGCAGCAUUUAUUUUUCAACUCGACUCAAUGAGCCCAAUCAGUCGUCCAUGACAACAAAAUCAUAAACAACAGAGUAGGGCUGGCUAAUAGGUCCUUCGUUUUAGGGUUUUGCUCAGGGAAAACAAUAUUAUUGAAGAUUGGAAUGACUGGAAUUCUGAAAGACUUUGGUUUUUAAUGUAAAGAUAUGAUUUAAUCGUAAUAUUAUAUGUAGUCGAAAGUGAUGGGUUAGAGGAAGCUUACAUAACCAACCCAUAAAGUAAAAUGUAACAUCCAUAUAUGGCCAGCUAUGUAAAGUUUAACAUUGAUUUAUCCUGCAAUAGAUGUCGUUCAAUUGGAAACAUACAUGUUUGUCUUCUUAUAAUGCCUCUUAAGGGGAAAGUAAUGUAAAAGUAAAUGAAUGGAAACGGUUUGCAUUACUGAGUUUGGGUAAUCCAAAAGUUACAUUACUGAUUACAAUGUGGACAAGUAACUCGUAACUGUAACCGAUUACAUUUAGAAAGUAACCUCCCCAAACCUGGUUGUGUGUAGUGGCUUUGCUGCCAUGCAAAGAAGAAGAAAACAAGGAGAACACCGCCUUGUAAAACGAAGGGAUCUUGACAUGGGCCAAUCAGAGUCGUCUCUUGAUCAUGUGACGUUAGGAAUAUAAACAGUGAGUGACAUCAUCUGUUUACUUCAAGCUUUUGCACGGCUGAUAGACUUCAUUCGAGUACUGUACUAGUAAUAUUUGCCUCUCCUAAAAUUAUGGCAACAGACAUCGAAAGAUUUGCUUUUUUCGAAGAAGCACACUACGACCAAUACGAUUACUACAAUUUAGCCGAAUAUUCAUGUCACGCUGGUGGAAAAGGUAGAACCAAGAGAGAAAUCGGAUUGAACACCAAUCGCCAUAUCCCUGCUGGACACGAGAGAAAAAUUGCUGAAAAAUAUCAAAACAGUGAACUCAAACGCAGGAGAACCAAAAGUUUAACAUCUUGAUGGACUCUGUGUCAGAUCUCAAACCUAGUUGAAGAUUGAACUGGAACAUGGUCCAAAUUUGUAUUUUUGCCUUUCCUGACCCUAAUGACCCAACGAAAGGAGUUGACUGGGACUGGCCUGCCAGGAAACAAACCUUGGCAGUUAGUGUAGAGUGCACUCCUUUUCCACAUGUUGCACCCCUGUUACUGGACCUAGCGGCUCUUCAGUUACAGCAGUGUGCGAGAAUAAAAUGGUUUUAAAUGGUUGAAGACAUCUCUAGGACUAUUAUGCUGUUAUGAUACUGUUUGGUUUUAAAGUGUAAAAAGUACUGUGUUGUGAAUAAAGAGAUGACGAUUUAAAAGAG